rnacentral:rRNA from 1 species
GUCUAUGGCCAUGCUACCCUGAACAAGCCGAUCCCGUCUGAUCUCAGAAGCUGAGCAGGGUCGGGCCUGGUUAGUACUUGGAUGGGACACCACCUAGGAAGAACAGAUGCUGUCGGCA